GCAACAGAAGCAAUCGUUGUACAGCGUUGGUCACAAGCAAUCAAAUAAAGGUAGAAUAAGGAUUACAAACCCUAACACAUUCAUGAGCCUACCUACCCAUGGGUGUUUCUAUUUGGUAUUUAUAUUUGGUGCACAUUAUAACAAGAGACUUGAGUCCAAUAUAUAACAUUGAUAUUCUACUCUAUUCUAAUUCUAGGCAAUGUGAGACUUCAUAUAAUAACAUAUUUCAAACAUCUCAACAAUCUUCACCUUAAUUGAAAUAUAUGAAUAUUCCGCUCCUUAGGAAAUCUACACAAGAAUCUCCACAUUAGCGAACAUAUGAGUCCAUCUUGUUUAAUGUAUAAUUCUCUUUAACUGCUCCCCUACAACAUAAACCUUCUGAGUAUCCUUGACAAUGUUACCAAUAGUAAAGCUCUCCAAACUUGUAGUACAACUUCUCGUACUGCCAUCAAAUGGAACAUGUUGCCUAACCACCUAUUGCUAGGAAGUCUUUCGAUAUAUUGGAAUCUCUACACAAAAGUUCACCAAGAAUCGUCCUCUUCAAUACUCAGUCAAACUGAACCUUAAAGCUUCCUUGGAAAGCCUCAACCGCUACCAUCUUUGUCUAUUCCAACAAUCUUAGUUCAAAAGAACUAUCAUACUCCACCAUAAGGAGUAUACCCACAACACACUUUGCGUCAAUGCUAACUAAUGUUUGCGUCACAUCCUUGCAUCCAAGUCAAUGUCCAUGUUACACCUUUGCAUCUCUACCAAUGCUCGUGUUACAACUUGCAUCAUAGUCAAUGCCCAUGUCACACCCUACAUCAAAGUCAGCUAUCGCCCUUGUGCAUUUUUGAAUCUCCUAACAAUUAACAUCUUUCACUUUGACGUCUCAGACAUGCCAUUAGGAUAUUCCACUUCUCAUCUCAAAUGAGAACUUUCUCUCAACAUCUAGAGAUAUAUUGUGAGCAUCUGUCUCUGGGUCAAACUCAACACAUGAGUGUCUGGGUUAAGAGCCAUCUGCCAAUUGGCUCUGAUACCAAUUGUUGGAGCAGCGGAAUAGAUCGUUGCACAGCGUUAGCUACAAGCAAUCAAAUAAAGACAUAGAAUAAAUAUAAGAGAAGAAACAAGAGAAUUUGUUAACAGGGUUCGACCAAUUGUACCUACAUCCCAAGGAACACUGAGCGGCUACCAAGAUAUUAUUAGAGAAUAAAGAUUACAAACCCUAGCACGUCCAUGAGCCUACCUGCCCAUGAGGUGUUUCUACUUGGUACUUAUAUCUGGUGCACAUUAUAAUAAGGGACUUGAGUCCAAUAUAUAACAUUG
rnacentral:lncRNA from 1 species